GAUGAACGCUAGCGGCAGGCUUAACACAUGCAAGUCGAGGGGUAUAGUUCUUCGGAACUAGAGACCGGCGCACGGGUGCGUAACGCGUAUGCAAUCUACCUUUUGCAGAGGGAUAGCCCAGAGAAAUUUGGAUUAAUACCUCAUAGUAUGUGAGAAUGGCAUCAUUUUCACAUUAAAGCCACAACGGCAAAAGAUGAGCAUGCGUCCCAUUAGCUAGUUGGUAAGGUAACGGCUUACCAAGGCAACGAUGGGUAGGGGUCCUGAGAGGGAGAUCCCCCACACUGGUACUGAGACACGGACCAGACUCCUACGGGAGGCAGCAGUGAGGAAUAUUGGACAAUGGGCGCAAGCCUGAUCCAGCCAUGCCGCGUGCAGGAUGACGGUCCUAUGGAUUGUAAACUGCUUUUGUACAGGAAGAAACACUGGUUCGUGAACCAGCUUGACGGUACUGUAAGAAUAAGGAUCGGCUAACUCCGUGCCAGCCGCCGCCGUAAUAC
rnacentral:rRNA from 1 species